GCCUGGGUGACAUACCUCUUUAUAGCCCAUAUGAAAAGAGCAGCUGUGGAAUGUAAAGAAGUAUGUAUCCUAGGU